rnacentral:tRNA from 1 species
GGAGAGAUGCCGGAGCGGUCGAACGGGGCGGUCUCGAAAACCGUUGUGCAAGCAAUUGUACCUAGGGUUCGAAUCCCUGUCUCUCCGCCA